rnacentral:rRNA from 1 species
AAGAUUUAUCGGUGAAGGAUUAGCCCGCGUCUGAUUAGAUAGUUGGUGGGGUAACGGCCUACCAAGUCGACGAUCAGUAGCUGGUUUGAGAGGAUGAUCAGCAACACUGGGACUGAGACACGGCCCAGACUCCUACGGGAGGCAGCAGUGGGGAAUCUUAGACAAUGGGCGCAAGUGAUCUAGCCAUGCCGCGUGAGUGACGAAGGCCUUAGGGUCGUAAAGCUCUUUCGCCAGGGAUGAUAAUGACAGUACCUGGUAAAGAAACCCCGGCUAACUCCGUGCCAGCAGCCGCGGUAAUACGGAGGGGGUUAGCGUUGUUCGGAAUUACUGGGCGUAAAGCGCGCGUAGCGGAUUGGAAAGUUGGGGGUGAAAUCCCGGGGCUCAACCCCGAACUGCCUCCAAAACUAUCAGUCUAGAGUUCGAGAGAGGUGAGUGGAAUUCCAAGUGUAGAGGUGAAAUUCGUAGAUAUUUGGAGGAACACCAGUGGCGAAGGGGCUCACUGGCUCGAUACUGACGCUGAGGUGCGAAAGUGUGGGGAGCAAACAGGAUUAGAUACCCUGGUAGUCCACACCGUAAACGAUGAAUGCCAGACGUCGGGGGGCUUGC